UACGUAGGGUGCGAGCGUUAAUCGGAAUUACUGGGCGUAAAGCGUGCGCAGGCGGUUUUGUAAGUCAGAUGUGAAAUCCCUGGGCUCAACCUAGGAACUGCGUUUGAAACUACAAGGCUAGAGUGUAGCAGAGGGGGGUAGAAUUCCACGUGUAGCAGUGAAAUGCGUAGAGAUGUGGAGGAAUACCAAUGGCGAAGGCAGCCCCCUGGGUUAACACUGACGCUCAUGCACGAAAGCGUGGGGAGCAAACAGG
rnacentral:rRNA from 1 species